UACGAAGGGGGGCUAGCGUUGUUCGGAUUUACUGGGCGUAAAGCGCACGUAGGCGGAUCGUUAAGUCGGGGGUGAAAUCCUGGAGCUCAACUCCAGAACUGCCUUCGAUACUGGCGAUCUUGAGUCCGGAAGAGGUGAGUGGAACUCCUAGUGUAGAGGUGGAAUUCGUAGAUAUUCGCAAGAACACCAGUGGCGAAGGCGGCUCACUGGCCCGAUACUGACGCUGAGGCACGAAAGCGUGGGGGAGCAAACAGG
rnacentral:rRNA from 1 species